AGAGUUUAGGCUUGUUUUCACCAUCUCCUUCCUCUCUCUCUCACUCUAGGCCGGUUGGGUGUACGGUUUGGGGGAUUUCGUCGCCGACGUCGCGCCGCGAGCCGUUCGAGCGCGCUUGUUGCCGGAGCUUUGCGAAGAGGACGGGCGAGGGAGCGUCUUCACUGUUCUUGACGUCGCGCCGAGGUUCGACGCUGUCGAGCUCGUUCUCUGUGUAGGAGUGUCGAAACGCGACGAAAUUUGGCGUGCUAGAUUCGCGACUUCGAGACGAAGAUUCUGAGCCCAAGAUCGCGAUUUUUGGAGCAGGUUCCAGCGUCGACGUUUCGUAUUCUGGCCCGUUCUCUGCGUAGGAGCGUCGGAAUUCAGCGAAACCUGGACCAUUGGAUUCGUGACUCUGAGACGAAGCUUCGGAACCCUUGUUUGCUGAAUUUGGAUAAGGAGAACCGGGGACUUCGACGGACCAGCGAGGGAUCAUUUUGGAUCCGGGCCACUUUCUUCGCUGCCAGGAGUUGCUUGAGAGAGCCACAGGUUCCGGUUGCUGCACCGUCUGCGGACC